rnacentral:rRNA from 1 species
CCCCUAGACGUUCUGGGCUGCACGCGCGCUACAAUAAUACGCACAGCGAGUAUCACCGAGCUCGAAAGGGCAAGGUAAACAAUAGAAAAGUUACUGUAAUGGUUAUAGAUCCUUGUAAUUAUUGAUCUUCAACGAGGAAUUCCUAGUAAGUAUGUGUCAUCAUCACGCACUGAUUACGUCCCUGCCCUUUGUACACACCGCCCGUCGCUCCUACCGAUUGGGUGAGCCGAUGAAACUCUCGGAUGUAGGCUAUUCAUAGCCCGCAGAAGAGAUUUGAAUCGUAGCGCUUAGAGGAAGGAGAAGUCGUAACA